UCGAAGCCUUUCCUGGCCAAAGCACCACCACCACCACUAGGAGGAGGAAGAGGAGGAGGUUUCCUCCUCUGCUGCUGCUGCUUCUUCUUCUCGGCCUCCUGCUGCUGAGCUCACGCGAGCGAGGCGGGGCGUUGAACCCGUCCUCCUUCAACAUCCCCCCCAGAGCUGAUGCUGAUCAAGGUUUCCAACCAGACAGAGCAUGAGGAGGAAGAGAAAAAGACUUUAUAAAAGAUGCUUCUUUGUGA